rnacentral:rRNA from 1 species
UACAGAGGGUGCGAGCGUUGUUCGGAAUUAUUGGGCGUAAAGCGCUUGUAGGCGGCUUGUUAAGUUCCGUGUGAAAUCCCCAGGCUUAACCUGGGAAGUGCGCGGAAAACUGGCGAGCUUGAGUGCCGGAGAGGGUCGCGGAAUUCCCGGUGUAGGAGGUGAAAUUCGUAGAUAUCGGGAGGAACACCAGUGGCGAAGGCGGCGAC